UGGCGACCGAUGCGUCCCGCGCUCUAGGCGAAGACCGCGGCCCCGUCCCCGCGCCUCCACCGCCUUCUUCCAGGAGGAGGGGCCGUGCGGCGCCUGCCCGGGGGCCCUCAGGCCGCAGGCGGGCGCGAGCUUCAGGGAACUUAGGGGGCUCCCGCCUCCCCGGCCACGCGAGCGGGAACAGUCUCCUCCACUCGGAGCGGCGCCAUCUUCAGCUCUGAGUCACCAGGGCUGGAAAAAUACUAGAUGCGCUACUCGUGGACUCGUGAAUACACUCGUGAAUACAGGCCAUUUCCUGUACCUACAGCCACCCGCUGAACCUGUUGGAGAAUGUACUCCUUGGAAAUAAGGAAGAAAGAGGAUCCAGGGAACAGGAGUUUCACCACAGAGGAGCAGGAAAGGGAAUUCCCAGUAUGAUGGCAAGUUGCUAAAUUAAAUGUUUUGCCCAUUAUUUUUUACUGGGCUGUUGGUCUUUUUCUUAUUGACUUAAAGAACUCUUUAUUAUAGGAGAUAAACCUUUGUUGUGUUGCAAAUUA
rnacentral:lncRNA from 1 species